GUUUCUUUCAUCUGACCCCAUAUUCUUUGAGCCAAUUCAAAGAAGGGCAUAGGACCUGAUAUAUGGAACCAUCUUAUCUUCCACCAUCACUAUCAUUCCAUCUCCAUGAGCUUAUCUUCCACCACCACUCCAUCUCCAUGAUUUCCAUAGAGAUCCCCUGCAGAAUGCACAUUUUUCCCCCUGGAUUGCAAAUAAUCUGAACCAGGGUAAAACCAUUACAAAGUGGCCUUCAAACAUCAUGUCUGUAUUGGAACUGAAUGAUUGAUCAGACAUUUAAAUACGGAAACUGGGAAUUCAGCUGACCAGAAUUUCACCAGGGUGACAUGACAGUUUGUUGCUAAGGAACUGAAGACUAUGUCAUAAGUGAGCAUUCUGAUGAAGAGGAGUGAACAGUUUGCAGCAGAUUGGAUAUUAAGUAUAAAUCAGCUCUCUGUGUAUGUCCUUGUGUGGUGGUAUAACUGACAACAGGUAGGGUUCCUGAUGGGAUUGGGUUCCACCAAUCAGAGCCACUUGCAUGAGACCUCAACUGAGAGCCAGGAUGUCAUCUCCACCAGAACAAGGACUACGUUUUGUAUGUUGCUGUUCCGUUAGUGCCAGAACAUGCCCACCCCUGCUCAGUAAAUAAGCGUUAAGUGAAUGAAUUAAUAAGUGAAAGGCUGUGUUUGAAGAGGAGGGGCUCACUCUAAAUCUUGAAGAUGUUCAGCCUCGAAAAAGUAGAAGUCAUUGUGACCAAAGAUGAUGCCACCAUGCCUUUGAAAAAGAAAGAGAAAUAAAGAGAAAGAUGAAGAAAGGAUCACAUAAAGCUGAUGGGAAGAGAAUAAGGUGGACAUAGUAAGACAUCUGAGGCUGAAAAGGGAGGAAGUAGCAAGUGCACAGGAUGGAGCAGAGCAUGGGAAGAGCAUGGACCCAGCCCUGUGCCCCUAGGCUGGGUCAGCUCGGGGCUUCCAUUUCCUCCUCUGUAAAAUAUCUGCCUUUCAGGAUUAGUAAAAGGAUUAAAUAAAA
rnacentral:lncRNA from 1 species